AGAAUCAACGCUGGCGGCGUGCCUAACACAUGCAAGUCGAACGAGAAAGGGGAGCAAUCCCUGAGUAAAGUGGCGACCGGGUGAGUAACACGUGACUAACCUACCUUCGAGUGGGGGAUAACCUCGGGAAACCGGGGCUAAUACCGCAUAACAUCUUUGGAGUGGAAACUCCGGAGACCAAAGGAGCAAUUCGCUUGAAGAGGGGGUCGCGGCUGAUUAGCUAGUUGGCGGGGUAAUGGCCCACCAAGGCUUUGAUCGGUA
rnacentral:rRNA from 1 species